GAUGGAAAGUGUUGCUGAAAGACAGGAAGUGUAAAUAACACACAUUCUGGAACUGUGAGAUCAGCCGUCACCUUCAUCGCCCGAUGAGGAGUGACAUCUCUGCAACAACCCCACGCCUGAUGUGACAACAGAUUUGACACAAUCCUGUAACAGAUGGUGACGGUAUUGCCAGGAAGUGUAUUCUCUCAACAGCCAUUUCCUGCUGCUUCUUUCACAUGACAGGAAAUAGAGAGCGACAUGGUCAACAUGCCCACUGGACCCAAAGAUUACCAGGUUCUAAACAGCAAUCAAAGUGCUUCCAAUGAUCUAUGAGACUUACAUGGGGGACCAGCCACUUGCUAAUAGAGACAUUUACACCUUAGUAAGAUUUGGCAGGUGUUACCCUGCUGUUGUUGAGAGCAGACGCAUGCCCGAGCAUCAUUAGGCCCCAUGCCAAGCCUGCUUUGGCUGCCAGCCUCAGUGCACGCACGGGCGUAUGUACAUGUGUGCGCGUGUGUGUGUUUCAGUGGAACAGCAAUGUCACAAGGGACUCCUUGUUGAAAUUGAGAGUGGUGUAAUGCUGCUGAUCUGUGUGCAACAGGAUCUGUUUGGACCAUUGGUUUGCAAAACAGUGGUAAUAUUAUAUGGGACCUAUUAUGGAAAAAUUACUUUUUAAUUGCUCAGGAGGGUCCGCCUACCCAACAAGUGUGAAAUUACACAACAAAUUAAGAUGUAUUGUAUUGUGUUGUAUAAGUUUCUCCAGCCAAGAUAUUUACUAACUUACUUACUUUUACUGUACCUCCAGCAGUACACUCUGGUGACACAUCGGAUAUGUAUAUGCGGCAUGUAUAGAUGGACCCUAUCCCAGCUAUUCCAGCGCGGUACACCCUAAACUACACACACACACAC